GACGAACGCUGGCGGCGUGCUUAACCCAUGCAAGUCGAGCGGAAAGGCCCUGCUUUUGUGGGGUGCUCGAGUGGCGAACGGGUGAGUAACACGUGAGUAACCUGCCCUUGACUUUGGGAUAACUUCAGGAAACUGGGGCUAAUACCGGAUAGGAGCUCCUGCUGCAUGGUGGGGGUUGGAAAGUUUCGGCGGUUGGGGAUGGACUCGCGGCUUAUCAGCUUGUUGGUGGGGUAGUGGCUUACCAAGGCUUUGACGGGUAGCCGGCCUGAGAGGGUGACCGGCCACAUUGGGACUGAGAUACGGCCCAGACUCCUACGGGAGGCAGCAGUGGGGAAUAUUGCAUAAUGGGCGGAAGCCUGAUGCAGCAACGCCGCGUGCGGGAUGACGGCCUUCGGGUUGUAAACCGCUUUCGCCUGUGACGAAGCGUGAGUGACGGUAAUGGGUAAAGAAGCACCGGCUAACUACGUG
rnacentral:rRNA from 1 species